CAGCCGCCGCGGUAAAACGAAGGGUGCAAGCGUUAAUCGGAAUUACUGGGCGUAAAGCGUGCGUAGGCGGUGAGUUAAGUCUGCUGUGAAAUCCCCGGGCUCAGCCUGGGAAUGGCAGUGGAUACUGGCUCGCUAGAGUGUGUCAGAGGAUGGUGGAAUUCCCGGUGUAGCGGUGAAAUGCGUAGAGAUCGGGAGGAACAUCAGUGGCGAAGGCGGCCAUCUGGGACAACACUGACGCUGAGGCACGAAAGCGUGGGGAGCAAACAGGAUUAGAUACCCCCGUAGUCCCUGUCUCUUAUAC
rnacentral:rRNA from 1 species